UACGUAGGGUGCGAGCGUUGUCCGGAAUUACUGGGCGUAAAGAGCUCGUAGGUGGUUUGUCGCGUUGUUCGUGAAAACUCACAACUCAAUUGUGGGCGUGCGGGCGAUACGGGCAGACUGGAGUACUGCAGGGGAGACUGGAAUUCCUGGUGUAGCGGUGAAAUGCGCAGAUAUCAGGAGGAACACCGGUGGCGAAGGCGGUUCUCGUGGGCAUUACCUGACGCUGAGGAGCGAAAGUGUGGGAGCGAACAGG
rnacentral:rRNA from 1 species